GGGUUGUGAGGUUAAGCGACUAAGCGUACACGGUGGAUGCCCUGGCAGUCAGAGGCGAUGAAGGACGUGCUAAUCUGCGAAAAGCGCCGGCGAGGUGAUAUGAACCUUUGACCCGGCGAUGUCCGAAUGGGGAAACCCAGUGCAAUCCGUUGCACUAUCGUUAACUGAAUACAUAGGUUAACGAGGCGAACCGGGGGAACUGAAACAUCUAAGUACCCCGAGGAAAAGAAAUCAACCGAGAUUCCCCCAGUAGCGGCGAGCGAACGGGGAGCAGCCCGGAGUCUGAAUCAGCUUGUGUGUUAGUGGAACGGUCUGGAAAGUCCGACGGUACAGGGUGAUAGUCCCGUACACGAAAGCACACUUGCUGUGAACUCGAAGAGUAGGGCGGGACACGUGGUAUCCUGUCUGAAUAUGGGGGGACCAUCCUCCAAGGCUAAAUACUCCUGACUGACCGAUAGUGAACCAGUACCGUGAGGGAAAGGCGAAAAGAACCCCGGCGAGGGGAGUGAAAAAGAACCUGAAACCGUGUACGUACAAGCAGUGGGAGCCUCUUUAUGGGGUGACUGCGUACCUUUUGUAUAAUGGGUCAGCGACUUAUAUUCUGUAGCAAGGUUAACCGUAUAGGGGAGCCGAAGGGAAACCGAGUCUUAACUGGGCGUUAAGUUGCAGGGUAUAGACCCGAAACCCGGUGAUCUAGCCAUGGGCAGGUUGAAGGUUGGGUAACACUAACUGGAGGACCGAACCGACUAAUGUUGAAAAAUUAGCGGAUGACCUGUGGCUGGGGGUGAAAGGCCAAUCAAACCGGGAGAUAGCUGGUUCUCCCCGAAAGCUAUUUAGGUAGCGCCUCGUGAACUCAUCUUCGGGGGUAGAGCACUGUUUCGGCUAGGGGGCCAUCCCGGCUUACCAACCCGAUGCAAACUACGAAUACCGAAGAAUGUUAUCACGGGAGACACACGGCGGGUGCUAACGUCCGUCGUGAAGAGGGAAACAACCCAGACCGCCAGCUAAGGUCCCAAAGUCAUGGUUAAGUGGGAAACGAUGUGGGAAGGCACAGACAGCCAGGAUGUUGGCUUAGAAGCAGCCAUCAUUUAAAGAAAGCGUAAUAGCUCACUGGUCGAGUCGGCCUGCGCGGAAGAUGUAACGGGGCUAAACCAUGCACCGAAGCUGCGGCAGCGACGCUUAGGCGUUGUUGGGUAGGGGAGCGUUCUGUAAGCCGUCGAAGGUGUCCUGUGAGGCAUGCUGGAGGUAUCAGAAGUGCGAAUGCUGACAUAAGUAACGAUAAAGCGGGUGAAAAGCCCGCUCGCCGGAAGACCAAGGGUUCCUGUCCAACGUUAAUCGGGGCAGGGUGAGUCGACCCCUAAGGCGAGGCCGAAAGGCGUAGUCGAUGGGAAACAGGUUAAUAUUCCUGUACUUGGUGUUACUGCGAAGGGGGGACGGAGAAGGCUAUGUCAGCCGGGCGACGGUUGUCCCGGUUUAAGCAUGUAGGCGGAGGUUCCAGGUAAAUCCGGUACCUUGUUAACGCUGAGGUGUGAUGACGAGGCACUACGGUGCUGAAGUGAUAAAUGCCCUGCUUCCAGGAAAAGCCUCUAAGCAUCAGGUAACACGAAAUCGUACCCCAAACCGACACAGGUGGUCAGGUAGAGAAUACCAAGGCGCUUGAGAGAACUCGGGUGAAGGAACUAGGCAAAAUGGUGCCGUAACUUCGGGAGAAGGCACGCUGAUGUGUAGGUGAAGCCCCUGCGGGCGGAGCUGAAAUCAGUCGAAGAUACCAGCUGGCUGCAACUGUUUAUUAAAAACACAGCACUGUGCAAACACGAAAGUGGACGUAUACGGUGUGACGCCUGCCCGGUGCCGGAAGGUUAAUUGAUGGGGUUAGCGGCAACGCGAAGCUCUUGAUCGAAGCCCCGGUAAACGGCGGCCGUAACUAUAACGGUCCUAAGGUAGCGAAAUUCCUUGUCGGGUAAGUUCCGACCUGCACGAAUGGCGUAAUGAUGGCCAGGCUGUCUCCACCCGAGACUCAGUGAAAUUGAACUCGCUGUGAAGAUGCAGUGUACCCGCGGCAAGACGGAAAGACCCCGUGAACCUUUACUAUAGCUUGACACUGAACACUGGUCCUUGAUGUGUAGGAUAGGUGGGAGGCUUUGAAGCGUGGACGCCAGUCUGCGUGGAGCCAACCUUGAAAUACCACCCUUUAAUGGCUGGUGUUCUAACGUAGACCCGUAAUCCGGGUUGCGGACAGUGUCUGGUGGGUAGUUUGACUGGGGCGGUCUCCUCCCAAAGAGUAACGGAGGAGCACGAAGGUUGGCUAAUCCUGGUCGGACAUCAGGAGGUUAGUGCAAUGGCAUAAGCCAGCUUGACUGCGAGCGUGACGGCGCGAGCAGGUGCGAAAGCAGGUCAUAGUGAUCCGGUGGUUCUGAAUGGAAGGGCCAUCGCUCAACGGAUAAAAGGUACUCCGGGGAUAACAGGCUGAUACCGCCCAAGAGUUCAUAUCGACGGCGGUGUUUGGCACCUCGAUGUCGGCUCAUCACAUCCUGGGGCUGAAGUAGGUCCCAAGGGUAUGGCUGUUCGCCAUUUAAAGUGGUACGCGAGCUGGGUUUAGAACGUCGUGAGACAGUUCGGUCCCUAUCUGCCGUGGGCGCUGGAGAAUUGAGGGGGGCUGCUCCUAGUACGAGAGGACCGGAGUGGACGCAUCACUGGUGUUCGGGUUGUCAUGCCAAUGGCACUGCCCGGUAGCUAAAUGCGGAAGAGAUAAGUGCUGAAAGCAUCUAAGCACGAAACUUGCCCCGAGAUGAGUUCUCCCUGAGACUUUAAGUCUCCUGAAGGAACGUUGAAGACGACGACGUUGAUAGGUCGGGUGUGUAAGCGCAGCGAUGCGUUGAGCUAACCGAUACUAAUGAACCGUGAGGCUUAACCUUACAACGCCGAAGCUGUU
rnacentral:rRNA from 1 species